rnacentral:rRNA from 1 species
CAGCCGCCACGGUAAUACGAAGGGUGCAAGCGUUACUCGGAAUUACUGGGCGUAAAGCGUGCGUAGGUGGUGGUUUAAGUCCGUUGUGAAAGCCCUGGGCUCAACCUGGGAAUUGCAGUGGAUACUGGGUCACUAGAGUGUGGUAGAGGAUAGUGGAAUUUCCGGUGUAGCAGUGAAAUGCGUAGAGAUCGGAAGGAACAUCUGUGGCGAAGGCGACUAUCUGGGCCAACACUGACACUGAGGCACGAAAGCGUGGGGAGCAAACAGGAUUAGAUACCCCGGUAGUCCCUGUCUCUUAUAC